UGGUCAGAGACUGACGCUGAGGUACGAAAGCGUGGGGAGCAAACAGGAUUAGAUACCCUGGUAGUCCACGCCGUAAACGAUGUCAACUAGCUCGUUGGGUGCUCACUAAGACGUGAGUGAACGCAGCUAACGCACUAAGUUGACCGCCUGGGGAGUACGGCCGCAAGGUUAAAACUCAAAUGAAUUGACGGGGGCCCGCACAAGCGGUGGAGCAUGUGGUUUAAUUCGAUGCAACGCGAAGAACCUUACCAUCCCUUGACAUCCAGUGAACUUUCCAGAGAUAGAUUGGUGCCUUCGGGAACACUGAGACAGGUGCUGCAUGGCCGUCGUCAGCUCGUGUUGUGAGAUGUUGGGUUAAGUCCCGCAACGAGCGCAACCCUUAUCCUUAGUUGCCAGCAGGUAAUGGUGGGAACUCCGGGGAGACUGCCGGUGAUAAACCGGAGGAAGGUGGGGAUGACGUCAGGUCAUCAUGGCCCUUACGGGAUGGGCUACACACGUGCUACAAUGGCGCGUACAAAGGGCAGCGAACUUGCGAAGGUAAGCCAAUCUCAUAAAGCGCGUCGUAGUCCGGAUUGGAGUCUGCAACUCGACUCCAUGAAGUCGGAAUCGCUAGUAAUCGUGGAUCAGAAUGCCACGGUGAAUACGUUCCCGGGCCUUGUACACACCGCCCGUCACACCAUGGGAGUGGGUUGCACCAGAAGUAGUUAUGUUUAACCUUCGGGAGACACG
rnacentral:rRNA from 1 species